rnacentral:rRNA from 1 species
ACGGAAGGCAGCAGUGGGGGAUAUUGCGCAAUGGAGGAAACUCUGAUGCAGCAACGCCGCGUGAGGGAAGACGGUCUUCGGAUUGUAAACCUAAGUUAUCAGGGACGAAGUCAAUGACGGUACCUGAAGAGAAAGCUCCGGCUAACUACGUGCCAGCAGCCGCGGUAAUACGUAGGGAGCAAGCGUUGUCCGGAUCUACUGGGUGUAAAGGGUGCGUAGGCGGGCUUGCAAGUCAGGCGUGAAAUCCCGCGGCUUAACUGCGGGGCUGCGGUUGAAACUGUAGGUCUUGAGUGAGGUAGAGGAAAGCGGAAUUCCCAGUGUAGCGGUGAAAUGCGUAGAUAUUGGGAGGAACACCAGUGGCGAAGGCGGCUUGCUGGGCCUUAACUGACGUUGAGGCACGAAGGUGUGGGGAGCAAACAGGAUUAGAUACCCUGGUA